AUUGUGUACCCUCUCCCCGCUUUGUAUCCCUGCCCUGAGGGCCUCACAGCCAGAUCUCCUGAGAGCAGAGUGAAGAGGAAGCUCAGUAUUUCUCAGGCAGGCCAGCAGGUCGGAAGUGAUUGGGGUCUUUGCCACUCCUGCCCCAUUCAUUGGCAGCCUGAUCAGCCAGCGAGUCCUCCGCACCCCCAGGUCCCCUUUUGGCAGCAUCAUAGUUCCCCCGAGCAUGGAAGUAUUUGUCUGAGCCGAUGUAAUUGGCUUCUCUCAGGGACCCGCAGCUCAGCUACAGCACAGAUCAGGGGCUCGGGACAUGUGGAGAGCCUACUCUGACAUGAGAGAAGCCAAUUACAUCGGCUCAGACAAAUACUUCCAUGCUCGGGGGAACUAUGAUGCUGCCAAAAGGGGACCUGGGGGUGCCUGGGCCGUGGUGCGGAGGACUCGCUGGCCGAUCAGGCUGCCAAAAUGGGGCCAGAGUGGCAAAGACCCCAAUCACUUCCGACCUGCUGGCCUGCCAGAGAAAUACUGAGCUUCCUUUUCAAUCUGCUCUCAGGAGACCUGGCUGUGAGCCCC
rnacentral:lncRNA from 1 species